ACGGGUGAGUAAUACAUCGGAACGUGCCCAGUAGUGGGGGAUAGCCCGGCGAAAGCCGGAUUAAUACCGCAUACGACCUACGGGUGAAAGCGGGGGAUCGCAAGACCUCGCGCUAUUGGAGCGGCCGAUGUCAGAUUAGCUAGUUGGUGGGGUAAAAGCCUACCAAGGCGACGAUCUGUAGCUGGUCUGAGAGGACGACCAGCCACACUGGGACUGAGACACGGCCCAGACUCCUACGGGAGGCAGCAGUGGGGAAUUUUGGACAAUGGGCGCAAGCCUGAUCCAGCCAUGCCGCGUGCGGGAAGAAGGCCUUCGGGUUGUAAACCGCUUUUGUCAGGGAAGAAACGGCCUGAUCUAAUAAAUCGGGCUAAUGACGGUACCUGAAGAAUAAGCACCGGCUAACUACGUGCCAGCAGCCGCGGUAAUACGUAGGGUGCAAGCGUUAAUCGGAAUUACUGGGCGUAAAGCGUGCGCAGGCGGCUUUGCAAGACAGAUGUGAAAUCCCCGGGCUUAACCUGGGAACUGCAUUUGUGACUGCAUGGCUAGAGUGCGGCAGAGGGGGAUGGAAUUCCGCGUGUAGCA
rnacentral:rRNA from 1 species